UCUUAUGGAUGAGCAAAUAAAGUGGUUUUUUGAAAUGAAGUGUACUUCUGGUGAAGAUGCUGUGAA
rnacentral:pre_miRNA from 1 species